UCAUUAGUUUGUGGUUUAAUUUCUAAGUAUUAGUGUUUUAUGGGGUAUGGUUUUUGUAUAUAGUAUGUAUUUCUUUUCCCCUUUACCAUUAUGUUUCUUAAAAAUUAACUUCUUUGUACUACUUCAUACUUAGCAGAAAAGGUCGAAGGCAUGUACUCUUAUUAAUUCAUGUAAAUCACCCACACUUGUGUAAACGGGUAGCUCCGCCCUCGGAUAUGCAGGUGCUAAAUUCUCCGCUGAAAUACAUUGUCGCUAAUCAAUCUGCAACCAGCGUAGUGCAAAUGGUAUUGAGUGCAGCACCUGUGACGAUCUGGCUUGCAGGUACUUGAGAGUUAUUAAAGUCUCUUUGCAACCUUUUUAUCAUCUGUUAUCAUGCUUGGAAACUGUUCGAUGAUAUUGACAUGAUACUGUUGUAUCACUAACCAUACAGUAUAUAAAUGUGCCAGUUCAUACCACACAAGUUAAUUUUAAUUUGACUUGAAGCGGACUAAAAAAUCGAAAUAAAAAAGCGAAAGAUGACCGACACACGAGGAUUCGUUUUGGACACAAAAUCCAUGUCAAAUUCCGAGACGCCCACGACCUCCGGGGGGACCAAUUGACAUUGUUUUCACAGAACCUGUGCCAGAAGAACAGCCAAUAUCGCUUUCGGCAGAGCAACGUAUAAAGGCUGCAUUUAAAAAAGAAUCAAAAAGUUGAUGUGUUAUCAGAAACAUUGGCGGAGGCGCUGGCGCUGCUCAAGCUACAGAUUAUAAAAGAGCCAGAUCUAUCACCAAAUGCCAUGAAGUUCCCGAUAGAGUCGACAAUGGAGUUGGAACAUUUCAACUCUAUCAUAACUCCGGAGCUCACCGAUUUCUAUAUCAACAAAAUACGGAACUUAAUGGGGACGAGCACAUCGAUGGCAUGCAGCUUAAAAAAUGUGCUGGACGAGAAGCUCAUUUUGGAAUACAACUUAUGCGGUACUUCGGGGAAGAGCUCGCUAAAAAA